rnacentral:rRNA from 1 species
UUAAGCGACUAAGCGUACACGGUGGAUGCCCUGGCAGUCAGAGGCGAUGAAGGGCGUGCUAAUCUGCGAUAAGCGCCGGUAAGGUGAUAUGAACCGUUAUAACCGGCGAUACCCGAAUGGGGAAACCCAGUGUGAUUCGUCACACUAUCAUUAACUGAAUCCAUAGGUUAAUGAGGCGAACCGGGGGAACUGAAACAUCUAAGUACCCCGAGGAAAAGAAAUCAACCGAGAUUCCCCCAGUAGCGGCGAGCGAACGGGGAGGAGCCCAGAGCCUGAAUCAGCAUGUGUGUUAGUGGAAGCGUCUGGAAAGGCGCGCGAUACAGGGUGACAGCCCCGUACACAAAAGCGCAUGUGCUGUGAGCUCGAUGAGUAGGGCGGGACACGUGGUAUCCUGUCUGAAUAUGGGGGGACCAUCCUCCAAGGCUAAAUACUCCUGACUGACCGAUAGUGAACCAGUACCGUGAGGGAAAGGCGAAAAGAACCCCGGCGAGGGGAGUGAAAAAGAACCUGAAACCGUGUACGUACAAGCAGUGGGAGCACAGGUUUACCUGUGUGACUGCGUACCUUUUGUAUAAUGGGUCAGCGACUUAUAUUCUGUAGCAAGGUUAACCGAAUAGGGGAGCCGGAGGGAAACCGAGUCUUAAUUGGGCGUUAAGUUGCAGGGUAUAGACCCGAAACCCGGUGAUCUAGCCAUGGGCAGGUUGAAGGUUGGGUAACACUAACUGGAGGACCGAACCGACUAAUGUUGAAAAAUUAGCGGAUGACCUGUGGCUGGGGGUGAAAGGCCAAUCAAACCGGGAGAUAGCUGGUUCUCCCCGAAAGCUAUUUAGGUAGCGCCUCGUGAAUUCAUCUCCGGGGGUAGAGCACUGUUUCGGCUAGGGGGCCAUCCCGGCUUACCAACCCGAUGCAAACUGCGAAUACCGGAGAAUGUUAUCACGGGAGACACACGGCGGGUGCUAACGUCCGUCGUGAAGAGGGAAACAACCCAGACCGCCAGCUAAGGUCCCAAAGUCAUGGUUAAGUGGGAAACGAUGUGGGAAGGCCCAGACAGCCAGGAUGUUGGCUUAGAAGCAGCCAUCAUUUAAAGAAAGCGUAAUAGCUCACUGGUCGAGUCGGCCUGCGCGGAAGAUGUAACGGGGCUAAACCAUGCACCGAAGCUGCGGCAGCGACGCUUAUGCGUUGUUGGGUAGGGGAGCGUUCUGUAAGCCUGUGAAGGUGGCCUGUGAGGGUUGCUGGAGGUAUCAGAAGUGCGAAUGCUGACAUAAGUAACGAUAAAGCGGGUGAAAAGCCCGCUCGCCGGAAGACCAAGGGUUCCUGUCCAACGUUAAUCGGGGCAGGGUGAGUCGACCCCUAAGGCGAGGCCGAAAGGCGUAGUCGAUGGGAAACGGGUUAAUAUUCCCGUACUUGGUGUUACUGCGAAGGGGGGACGGAGAAGGCUAUGUUGGCCGGGCGACGGUUGUCCCGGUUUAAGCGUGUAGGUGUGUGUUCCAGGUAAAUCCGGUUCACUUUAACACUGAGGCGUGAUGACGAGGCACUACGGUGCUGAAGUAACAAAUGCCCUGCUUCCAGGAAAAGCCUCUAAGCAUCAGGUAACAUCAAAUCGUACCCCAAACCGACACAGGUGGUCAGGUAGAGAAUACCAAGGCGCUUGAGAGAACUCGGGUGAAGGAACUAGGCAAAAUGGUGCCGUAACUUCGGGAGAAGGCACGCUGACACGUAGGUGAAGUGAUUUACUCAUGGAGCUGAAGUCAGUCGAAGAUACCAGCUGGCUGCAACUGUUUAUUAAAAACACAGCACUGUGCAAACACGAAAGUGGACGUAUACGGUGUGACGCCUGCCCGGUGCCGGAAGGUUAAUUGAUGGGGUCAGCGCAAGCGAAGCUCCUGAUCGAAGCCCCGGUAAACGGCGGCCGUAACUAUAACGGUCCUAAGGUAGCGAAAUUCCUUGUCGGGUAAGUUCCGACCUGCACGAAUGGCGUAAUGAUGGCCAGGCUGUCUCCACCCGAGACUCAGUGAAAUUGAACUCGCUGUGAAGAUGCAGUGUACCCGCGGCAAGACGGAAAGACCCCGUGAACCUUUACUAUAGCUUGACACUGAACAUUGAGCCUUGAUGUGUAGGAUAGGUGGGAGGCUUUGAAGCGUGGACGCCAGUCUGCGUGGAGCCGACCUUGAAAUACCACCCUUUAAUGUUUGAUGUUCUAACGUGGACCCGUGAUCCGGGUUGCGGACAGUGUCUGGUGGGUAGUUUGACUGGGGCGGUCUCCUCCUAAAGAGUAACGGAGGAGCACGAAGGUUGGCUAAUCCUGGUCGGACAUCAGGAGGUUAGUGCAAUGGCAUAAGCCAGCUUGACUGCGAGCGUGACGGCGCGAGCAGGUGCGAAAGCAGGUCAUAGUGAUCCGGUGGUUCUGAAUGGAAGGGCCAUCGCUCAACGGAUAAAAGGUACUCCGGGGAUAACAGGCUGAUACCGCCCAAGAGUUCAUAUCGACGGCGGUGUUUGGCACCUCGAUGUCGGCUCAUCACAUCCUGGGGCUGAAGUAGGUCCCAAGGGUAUGGCUGUUCGCCAUUUAAAGUGGUACGCGAGCUGGGUUUAGAACGUCGUGAGACAGUUCGGUCCCUAUCUGCCGUGGGCGCUGGAGAACUGAGGGGGGCUGCUCCUAGUACGAGAGGACCGGAGUGGACGCAUCACUGGUGUUCGGGUUGUCAUGCCAAUGGCACUGCCCGGUAGCUAAAUGCGGAAGAGAUAAGUGCUGAAAGCAUCUAAGCACGAAACUUGCCCCGAGAUGAGUUCUCCCUGAGACUUAAAGUCUCCUGAAGGAACGUUGAAGACGACGACGUUGAUAGGCCGGGUGUGUAAGCGCAGCGAUGCGUUGAGCUAACCGGUACUAAUGAACCGUGAGGCUUAACCCU